rnacentral:rRNA from 1 species
CAGUCGCCGCGGUAAUACGUAGGUGGCAAGCGUUGUCCGGAUUUAUUGGGCGUAAAGCGAGCGCAGGCGGUCAAUUAAGUCUGAUGUGAAAGCCCCCGGCUCAACCGGGGAGGGUCAUUGGAAACUGGUUGACUUGAGUGCAGAAGAGGAGAGUGGAAUUCCAUGUGUAGCGGUGAAAUGCGUAGAUAUAUGGAGGAACACCAGUGGCGGAGGCGACUCUCUGGUCUGUAACUGACGCUGAGGCUCGAAAGCGUGGGUAGCAAACAGGAUUAGAUACCCCUGUAGUCCCUGUCUCUUAUAC